GAAUUGGUGACCUAAGUGGUUAGAGCAUCCGCCUUGGAUGCGGGAGGUCGCGGGUUCGAAACAUGGUCGAGUCU